UCUUUGGUAAGAGACGAGGGACAAAGUUGGUAUUUUUACCUUUUAUGCUUAUUUUUAUCCUUUCUUGUCUACAUGUUUAGUGUAAAGUGGCCUUUCUUUUCCUACAGAGACCAGGACUCAAUAACAAGAAAUGCUUCUAUGAUGCUGCAAGCCCACAAGAACAUUUCCCAGCAUCUAAAAACACUCCAGAGGAGGACACGGUGAGGCUCUGCAAUGCCACUGAUACUUCUCCUGGAGGUCCAAAUAUCCAGUGGAGCUCCAGGUCCGGUGCUGAAAGUUAAACAUCUUGGAUCAGACACAGCAUGAGAGAGACCUUUCAGCACCAUCAGAAACUUGAUAAUGAACCAGGCAUAAGUGUCGAUAUCCUUUUAAACUUAAACCCAAGAAUCCGGAAUUCAAAAGGAUCGGCAAGUUCAGAGCAAACAUUCCGAAAAGCAUUUCCUCAAAUAGGAAUUUAAUAUCUUCUUUCAGAAAGGUGGAUCAUAACUUCACUCUCCCGUUUGAUGAUGAAACAUCCUCCAGGCUGCUUCAGAAUUGGGACGUGUUCUUCAAGUCAAAUGUCAUAAAAGAGGCUUCGUGGCUCACUUCAGCACCAGAGUCAUGUCGCUUGGUGUAGUCAACAGAAAGUCCCACAGGAGCGGGUCCAGAUGAAGCAAUAAUAUUCUCACAGUUUUCUUACUUCGCUGGAGUCAUGCUGCAGUUUGGAGCAGGGCUGGCAGCCAUACCUCUUCCUCUGUCGAGCCUCAGAGAAGCCAGAUCAUCGACGUCUACGUGUAUGUGUUUAAGCAUCCCAGCUCAUUCACUUUGAACAGCUGAUGAAUACUUAGAAAAAAAAAAUCUGUCUCACGAUGUCACAUUGAAGUAGAACAAUGAUGUAGAUAAAAAUGAGUGUGCAGCUAUUUAAACCUGGAAAAAGUGCUAAAAUCUACUCUCUGAAAGUUGAUUUCAACUCUCAAGUUUUUGCUUGAUAUAGAUGAGAACCUUUUUAAGAUUUACCUGAGUGCCAGUUUGGUUGUGUCAACCUGUAAUUCACAGAAAGACAGAUUUUGUGUAUUAUUGUAACGCACAUAGGACACAUGCUAUCUGAUCUGAUUUCAUUGUAGUUUGAGUAUACUUUUUAUCAAGGUUUAAGUCACCAAAACUAGAUUCCUACCUAAGGUUUUGCAGUAUUAUAACCAACUCACAUGUCCGAAACUGCUCUAGGUUUCAGAUUUUAAUCACUUUAAUUCUCAGCACAGAUUAUAACCAGGCCACCACGCUGAUCUCUAUGCAGUGCAUCAAGCAAAGCAACAAUCAACAAACCAUUUAACUUGUGUCAUUCCCUGUCACCAUUUAAGAAGAAAGCUUGAUCAUUCCUGAUUAAGAGAAGAGGAUUAGACAAGUUAAAGACUUUGUAAUGCUCAGACAGCUCUAACAUUUGCUUCUUCUACUUUUACUAACUUCUACUAACCAAAAAAAAGAUGUCAGUCAUUUGUUUUGAGAAUCACUAGUCAAGCUUGGUGUUUCACUUUUUUCAUCACUUUAAGGCUCAUUGUGUCAACCUACGAUUAAAGU